rnacentral:tRNA from 1 species
UGGUGGGGUUCCCGAGCGGCCAAAGGGAGCAGACUGUAAACUCUGCCGUCAUCGACUUCGAAGGUUCGAAUCCUUCCCCCACCACCAU